rnacentral:lncRNA from 1 species
ACUUACCGCCUGGUUGCGUUUCGGUCUAACGUCCAUAGCGAAUCUUGUCAUUUAUCGAGAAAAAUAUGAAAUAGCAAAGGACAGAAUAUACGUAUGGAUGGAUACGUGAUGACUCGAUUAAAGGUAUAUGGCAAGAACAGUGGAAGCGUUCGUGGUAAAGAAUUAUGGGAUUUAACGCGGAGCACGGGUUUAAACGAGUGGUAUAAAUUGUUGCGGCGAGCAGUGGAAGAGCGCGUCGAUGGUCAGACCGCGCGUAGAAGUGGCACCGGUGUUAGAAAAGUCAGGCAGCGUGGAAACGGUUGGUGGAGGGGAUAACGGACGCGCUGCCUCGUUCAUUUGAACAGAAACCACCUUCUCUGGGCAAAUGAAUUCUCUGAGCAAAUAGGUUUCACACUUUAGCCUAUUAUUAAGUUUGAUAAUUAACUUUCACGCAUUCACGCGAAUAUGCAAUAAUAUCGUAAAAUUUUUUUAGUUUUUUAAGUUUGGACAAUAAAUUAUAUUUUCGGCCAAAUAAAUUAUAAAAAAGAAAAAAAAAAGAAAGAGAUAUUUUAAGUAAUUUCUUUAUUUCGCGCGACGCGACGAAAACACUUUAUCUCGUUUCGUUCGAAUUGUUUCAAGUCCAUCUGUUCCAUUUGCGUACGCGCGAUUGCCAUGCCACGAUGAGAACUCGUUUCAACGUUUCCCACUUUUGUCAAGUGUAGCGCGCCUGUUCGAGCCUGUUUCCAUCCGUAUUUCGAAAUUCCACUUUCCCGAUAUUUCGUUCGAACAAGCAACAUUUCGAUUGUUGCUUCGUUGAAAUUUCUCCGCGAGCAACGUCGUACAUCGUAUCUACGUAUUCGAGAGGAGAGCAAUAUACGAUCAAUUUUCAAGAUAAAAAUAUAAAGAGAACGAAAAUUGAAACUCGUCAAAAUUUCAAUUUAUACAAAUGUUCGAUACAGCUACGACGGCUAUAGUCAUCUCGUUAGAAAAAAGGAAAGAGAAAAAUGUGGAAAGUUUCAACUUCGAAACCGACAAAGGCAAUCUUGUUCCGAGGCCAAUGUCCUAUUCCUCGCGGCCCCUAUUAACAAAAUGGAGAACUAGUUUCGCGGGGCAUACAAUGAAGCCAGGCCACGCGGCACUUUCCAACUCGCAGAUUAAUCGGGCUCUCGGCCAAACAACAUUUAUUCUAUUAUCGAGCGCGUAUUUGUAAUUCAAAUUUCCCGCCGGUUGAACAGGUGAUUCCAUCAGCCUUGCAUUACGCGUAAAAUCGAUGCGGCGCUCGUUUCGACUCUCUUGUAUCCUUUCGGCCUGUCAAUAUGUCCGCCGUGAACUUUUAUGGAAUGACGAUAAAUCGUGGGGAAAAUGAAACGAAUCGUGCGUUUGAAUAAAUUAGGAUCUAGCCGAAUCGAUUCGAAAUUCGUGGUAAGAUAUAACUUGAGAGGGAAUAUAUAAGACGCAAGUGCAUAACCAUAAAUUAUUCAUUUCUUUGCUUCGUUUCUAAAGAUAAGAGAGUAAAGUGAGGUUAACCUCGCUUGAGGAAUAAUUCGUGUGCAUGCGAUGACGAUAAUUUUUUUUUCUCAAAAUCAAGGUGCACUUAAAGUUUGAUAUUGGAAACUAUGUAUACCUGGAAGGCAUUCGCAAAAGUUAAUAAUAAUUCUGAAAUAAUAUAUAAAGUUUGUACACGAUUAGCAGAGAAUGAUUUAAAAAUUAUUAAACGAAGAAUACGUGUUUCAUCCUUGCCGUUAUAAAUUAUGUUUACAGAAAUACAUUCGGCACGAUUGUACAUACACGUGUAAUUUUGUUAAUGGAAUAUUCAUUGUUUGGUUAAACGAAUGGAACGAACUGUGUGCCACCACAUGCAUAUCAUUAAAGGAAAAUUAAACUGGUGGUGUAAAACUAUAAACCUGUUUCCUUUAUAUCGUUAUAUCUUUAAUUCCAUUCGGAAUAUGAUGGUAAAAAACGAGUGUUUGAUGAAAAAUUGAAAUACGUAUAUACAAUACAACGAUGUUAACGUUUAUCGAAUGUUGGAAAGCAUACUCACACACACACACAUACACACAGAUGUAUGACAGAAUGGAAAAAUGGAAGGCAAAGCAGAAGAAGGCGGAACCCUAUUUUGCGCAUUUCGAUAUCUCGAUCCUUCUUGAGGUUAAAAGAUCUCUGAUCUGAUAAAAGAGCAUGCGGUAACUGGACCGCAGGGAAAUGGAUCUGACAGCAGAUUAUCGCGGGCGAAAGUGAGAUUUCCGAAUGUCUUUAUCCGAGUUAACCGGCCGUGGUAUCGGCAAACUGUCGGAGAAACGUUUAUCUGAUUAUCAGUUGAAACAUUUAUAUCUGCAUUAAAUUACGUUUGACAGAAAAGAAGGGAAAACGCAGCUAAAAAAAGAAAUCUCGAUACCCGUUGGAAAAAGAAUUUCUUCAUCGAUUUUUCAAAUCAAUCGAUUUCGUGAUAUUAAUUAUUUUUUUUUCUUUUUAAAUUACAAUUCUUAUCGAAAAAAUUGAUUCCGCAUUGAUUCUCGAUUCAUUCGUCUGUUUUUCAGGAAACGAGAAAAUUAAUUACGGAUGAAUACGGUGAUUCGAGCGAGUAAAGUUGGAAGGUAAAUCAAAGAAGCAAUCGACUUAAGUGCGCCACUGUCCGCAACAUUCGACUUUACGUUGAAUCGACAAAUUAGAUUGAUCGAUUAGUUGCAUUAAUCGACGUGAACGUGGCUGGCUCUGAUAUUCGGCUGAAGUUGAAGCCAGCUACUCGAGCUACUAGAUAGCUACUCGUGUUAUGGUCGAUCCUUUAUUUCCGAGAAAUUACAGGAAAUUGUGGUAGACAGUAGCGCCACGCCAGAAGAAAAAUUCGAUUCGUGUACUUGUUACGGUGAAACUUUUAUCUCGUUGCUAUUUUAUAAUAAUGCAGAUAUUGAUGUAUUAAAAGUAACGCGUGACUUUUUUGGAUCUGUAAUUUUGGCCACUUAAAAGUCGCUUGAAGAUAAAAGAUGAGUUAUUGUAUCUUUGUAACAAGGAUAAUCAGGUUAUCAUACGUGCAACGAAAUCGAAACUCUCAUGAUAAAGAAGAGUUUAUCUUUAAUCGUGUUUCGCCUUUAGUCAAGCAACCAUGGAAUGAUUGAGAAACCAUGAUCCAUGAAAACGUAUCAAAACGAAAACUUUCCAAGUUUAAGCUUAAGGAAAUUUAAAUUCUUCGACUCGAUGUUUUGUUAUAAAAAUUGUAGAGAACGAUGGUCUUGUUAGAAACGUGAUUCUUUUAAUUUUAGACCGAAUUGUUAUUUGUGACGCUUUACAAUUGGAUUUUUAACAGCAAGGCAAGAUUCUUAAUAGGUAUUUAUUUAAUAUAAAUCAACGAAAGAAUUUCGAUAAAUUGUUAUCGUAAGUUAAAAAGUACUCCACGGUAUAAAGAGCUGUCGCAAUUCUCUUCUCCAUUAUUGUGCUGUACCGAGAAAAGGUCAAGACGAAACUUUUUACUUAGUAGAAUUGUUUCCGAAUAAAUUGAAAAACUUGAAAUGUGUGUAUCUGAAAGUGAGAAAACUUUUGAAAAUAUUAAUAGAAUAAAAAACUUUUUGCAUUUUCCAUAAAUAAGUAUUUUCACGCAACCAACUUUUGUUAUAUAUCUUUAAAUAUUAUAAUUUUCUUACAAACACAUCAAUGAUUUAAAACUA